AGGGGAUGUAGCUCAGAUG
rnacentral:siRNA from 1 species